GUGAAGGCUUUUAAUUUGAAUCUCCUGAUAUUCAACCCUGUCUUCCUUCCAUUGUGACAUGCUGCCUUACUUAGAAGUGGAAUGAGUAUGAGUUUUGGAAAUGCUUGCCAGGUGGUAAAAAUCAUAGCAUUUAGCAACUGUGCAAUCCAUUCUAGAAGCAGUGUACAUAUAAAUGAGUGUGGAAUUGAAAAAAAAAAAGGAGCUAAACUUUGUGAUGAAGAUUGGAAACAGAUUCUUCUGAUCAUAAAAUAAAAUUCUGUGAGAUCCAUCUAAAAGAUAAGCAAGAAGAAUGCCCAGAAGAAUGGAAGGAAUGGCAUAAACCCUUGAUGGAUAAUGUAUCAACUGACCUAUCCAAGGCAAACUAUACUUGGAUCUUAAGAGCUCAGAGUUAAAAGCAAACCCGGCUACAUUAUCUCUGUCAGAAGCACUCCAUAUAAUGACACUGCAGAGAUGGGACGAUAACAAAGAACCUUAUGAAAGCUGGGAGACUGAU